rnacentral:lncRNA from 1 species
AAAAGAUCUUUACCAAUCCUACAACAGAUAGAGGCCUUAUAUCCAAAAUAUACAGAGAACUCAAGAAGUUAGACCGCAGGGAAACAAAUAACCCUAUUAAAAAAUGGGGUUCAGAGCUAAACAAAGAAUUCACAGCUGAGGAAUGCUGAAUGGAUGAGAAACACCUAAAGAAAUGUUCAACAUCUUUAGUCAUAAGGAAAAUGCAAAUCAAAACAACCCUGAGAUUUCACCUCACACCAGUGAGAAUGGCUAAGAUCAAAACCUCAGGUGACAGCAGAUGCUGGCGAGGAUGUGGAGAAAGAGGAACACUCCUCCAUUGUUGGUGGGAUUGCAGACUGGUAAAACCAUUCUGGAAAUCAGUCUGGAGGUUCCUCAGAAAAUUGGACAUUGAACUGCCUGAGGAUCCAGCUAUACCUCUCUUGGGCAUAUACCCAAAAGAUGCCUCAACAUAUAAAAGAGACACGUGCUCCACUAUGUUCAUCGCAGCCUUAUUUAUAAUAGCCAGAAACUGGAAAGAACCCAGAUGCCCUUCAACAGAGGAAUGGAUACAGAAAAUGUGGUACAUCUACACAAUGGAAUAUUACUCAGCUAUCAAAAACAACGAGUU